AGGACAUGAAAAGCUUGCUUUUUAUGAAAUCUAGUGGCAAACGGGUGAGUAACACGUAAACAACCUGCCUUCAAGAUGGGGACAACAGACGGAAACGACUGCUAAUACCGAAUACGAUCCGAAAGUCGCAUGACAUUUGGAUGAAAGGGUGGCCUAUCGAAGAAGCUAUCGCUUGAAGAGGGGUUUGCGUCCGAUUAGGUAGUUGGUGAGGUAACGGCCCACCAAGCCGACGAUCGGUAGCCGGUCUGAGAGGAUGAACGGCCACACUGGAACUGAGACACGGUCCAGACUCCUACGGGAGGCAGCAGUGGGGAAUCUUCCGCAAUGGACGAAAGUCUGACGGAGCAACGCCGCGUGAGUGAAGACGGCCUUCGGGUUGUAGAGCUCUGUGAUUCGGGACGAAAGGCCAUAUGUGAAUAAUAUAUGGAAAUGACGGUACCGAAAAAGCAAGCCACGGCUAACUACGUGCCGGCAGCCGCGGUAAUACGUAGGUGGCAAGCGUUGUCCGGAAUUAUUGGGCGUAAAGCGCGCGCAGGCGGUCACUUAAGUCCAUCUUAGAAGUGCGGGGCUUAACCCCGUGAUGGGAUGGAAACUGGGAGACUGGAGUAUCGGAGAGGAAAGUGGAAUUCCUAGUGUAGCGGUGGAAUGCGUAGAUAUUAGGAAGAACACCGGUGGCGAAGGCGACUUUCUGGACGAAAACUGACGCUGAGGCGCGAAAGCGUGGGGAGCAAACAGGAUUAGAUACCCUGGUAGUCCACGCCGUAAACGAUGGAUACUAGGUGUAGGAGGUAUCGACCCCUUCUGUGCCGGAGUUAACGCAAUAAGUAUCCCGCCUGGGAAGUACGAUCGCAAGAUUAAAAC
rnacentral:rRNA from 1 species